CCUACGGGUGGCAGCAGUGGGGAAUAUUGGACAAUGGGCGAAAGCCUGAUCCAGCCAUGCCGCGUGUGUGAAGAAGGCCUUCGGGUUGUAAAGCACUUUCAGUGGGGAAGAAAGCCUUGGGGCUAAUACCCUCGAGGAAGGACAUCACCCACAGAAGAAGCACCGGCUAACUCCGUGCCAGCAGCCGCGGUAAUACGGAGGGUGCGAGCGUUAAUCGGAAUUACUGGGCGUAAAGCGCGCGUAGGCGGUCUGAUAAGCCGGUUGUGAAAGCCCCGGGCUCAACCUGGGAACGGCAUCCGGAACUGUCAGGCUAGAGUGCAGGAGAGGAAGGUAGAAUUCCCGGUGUAGCGGUGAAAUGCGUAGAGAUCGGGAGGAAUACCAGUGGCGAAGGCGGCCUUCUGGACUGACACUGACGCUGAGGUGCGAGAGCGUGGGUAGCAAACAGGAUUAGAUACCCCGGUAGUC
rnacentral:rRNA from 1 species